CUGGCCUCAAAUCAGGUAGGGCUACCCGCUGAACUUAAGCAUAUCAAUAAGCGGAGGAAAAGAAACUAACUAGGAUUCCCUUAGUAACGGCGAGUGAACCGGGAUGAGCUCAAAUUUGAAAUCUGGCGUCUUUCAGGCGUCCGAGUUGUAAUCUAUAGAGGCGUUUUCCGCGCCGGACCGCGUCCAAGUCUCUUGGAAUAGAGUAUCAAAGAGGGUGACAAUCCCGUACUUGACGCGACAACCGGUGCUCUGUGAUACGUUCUCAACGAGUCGAGUUGUUUGGGAAUGCAGCUCUAAAUGGGUGGUAAAUUCCAUCUAAGGCUAAAUAUUGGCGAGAGACCGAUAGCGAACAAGUACCGUGAGGGAAAGAUGAAAAGCACUUUGGAAAGAGAGUUAAACAGCACGUGAAAUUGUUAAAAGGGAAACGAUUGAAGUCAGUCGUGUGAAAGGUAUUCAGCCGUCUCUGGCGGUGUAUUUGCCUUUCACGGGUCAACAUCAGUUUAGUCCGGUAGAAAAAGGCUGGAGGAAGGUGGCACCCUCGGGUGUGUUAUAGCCUCCUGUCACAUGUGCCGGAUUAGACUGAGGAACGCAGCUUGCAGCAAUGCCGGGGUUCGCCCACGUACAAGCUUAGGAUGUUGACAUAAUGGCUUUAAACGACCCGUCUUGAAACACGGACCAAGGAGUCUAACAUAUCUGCGAGUGUUUGGGUGUCAAACCCAAGCGCGA
rnacentral:rRNA from 1 species